rnacentral:tRNA from 1 species
GGGGGGGUAGCUCAGUGGUUAGAGCUUAGGUCUCGUAACCUAAAGGUCCCGGGAUCGAACCCCACUAAAGGCA